rnacentral:snRNA from 1 species
GUGCUUGCUUCAGCAGCACAUAUACUAAAGUUAAAAUGAUACAGAGAUUAGCGUGGCCCCUGAGCAGGGAUGACAUGCAAAUCUGUGAAAUAUUCCAUAUUGUA